rnacentral:misc_RNA from 1 species
GAUGAAGAACGCAGCGAAAUGCGAUAAGUAAUGUGAAUUGCAGAACUCAGUGAAUCAUCGAAUCUUUGAACGCACAUUGCGCCCGCCAGUAUUCUGGCGGGCAUGCCUGUUCGAGCGUCAUUUCAACCAUCAAGCCCCCGGGCUUGUGUUGGGGACCUGCGGCUGCCGCAGGCCCUGAAAACCAGUGGCGGGCUCGCUAGUCACUCCGAGCGUAGUAGUUACAUCUCGCUCAGGGCGUGCUGCGGGUUCCGGCCGUUAAAAGCCUUUUACCCCAAGGUUGACCUCGGAUCAGGUAGGAAGACCCGCUGAACUUAAGCAUAUCAAUAAGCGGAGGA